rnacentral:rRNA from 1 species
GACGAACGCUGGCGGCGUGCCUAACACAUGCAAGUCGAACGGAAAGGCCCUGCUUUUGUGGGGUUCUCGAGUGGCGAACGGGUGAGUAACACGUGAGUAACCUGCCCUUGACUUUGGGAUAACUUCAGGAAACUGGGGCUACUACCGGAUAGGAGCUCCUGCUGCAUGGUGGGGGUUGGAACGUUUCGGCGGUUGGGGCUGGACUCGCGGCUUAUCAGCUUGCUGGUGGGGUAGUGGCUUACCAAGGGUUUGACGGGUAGCCGGCCUGAGAGGGUGACCGGCCACAUUGGGACUGAGGGACGCCCCAGACUCCUACGGGAGACAGCAGUGGGGAAUAUUGCACAAUGGGCGGAAGCCUGAUGAAGCAACGCCGGGUGCGGGAUGACGGCCUUCGGGUUAUGAACCGCUUUCGCCUGUGACGAAGCGUGAGUGACGGUAAUGGGUGAAGAAGCACCGGCUAACUACGUG